CUGUGUUGUGCUUGGCUUCGCUGAGCUGUGCUGGGCAGGUUUUGGAGCUGAUCUGGUGCUGAGUUGGCGCUGACCUGGUCCUUUGCUGUCUGGCUGCGGCUUCGGCUGGGUUGUUUGGGGUUUUGAUGCAGUGAUGCAGGGCACAGCACAAGGCGACGGCAAUACGGACUUGGGGCGCAGCAGGUCCCUCCCUACAAUAGGCAACGGGGAGAGGCAAAGCGCACGCAGGAUCAUAGGCGAGCAGUAGCAUAUUCACUGAUGUCCCCGUCAAUAAAAUCCAAAUUCCAGCUUCACCUCUUGAAGGACAGUGUAGCGUUUGAUUGCAAUCCUCCGGGAUAUUAUCCGCGAGGGUCGCUUCGCGCAAACGGUUAAUGCACCUUAAAACU
rnacentral:lncRNA from 1 species